rnacentral:rRNA from 1 species
UACAGAGGAGCCAAGCGUUGUCCGGAUUGACUGGGCGUAAAGCGCACGCAGGCGGUUUGGCGCGUGGGGUGUGAAAUCUGGCCGCUUAACGGCCAGGCGCAUCCCAUACGGCCGGACUGGAGCCUUGCAGAGGUCGGUGGAAUUGCCGGUGUAGUGGUGAAAUGCGUAGAUAUCAGGAGGAACACCGGUGGCGAAGGCGCUCAUCUGGCCCAAUACUGACGCUGAGGCGCGAAAGCUAGGGGAGCAAACGGG